rnacentral:lncRNA from 1 species
UUACUGGAUGAAAUAAUUAUACUGAUCCUAGCCUUAUUUUAAAAGGGCCCCCAGAAUGCUCUUCUCCAAGACUUAGAAAAAUCAAAUGCUAUCCAUCCCUCAAGAUACAUCCCUCCAGCCCCUCCUUGAAGUCUCCUGCAGCUAGAAGUAGAAGUAGCAUCUAUCCCCAUCUGGACUCCUUAGCACUUUGCUGUACCUGCCUUAGUCCCCAUCUCUUUACACACACACACACACACACACACACACACACAGAGUAUUAUAAUACUAUUACCUAUUAUAUUACAUUAUAUUAUUGUAGUUCUACAGGAACUACAAGGAAUUCUACUGUGAAUUCCUUAAGGGUGGGAUACAUUUUACAAUCAUCACUGUUUCUCUCAUUAGUUGUGGAAUCAAAAAAAUGAGUGCACGAUGAAAAAUUAUUCAAACACAUACAUGCUUUCAUUCCAAUUGAAAAUGUAAAAAUAUUACUGUUAAAACAAUAUUAAAGGACAUGUAAUACAAUUCAAAUAUUCCUACCAUGCACGAUUGUUUUCACUUCUUUGUGCCUCUUUCACCAUUUAUUUGUGUGCAUACUCAGCAUAUUUGUUUGUGUAACAGGAUGUUAAAAAUAGAAUUUGUUGCCUGUAGUUUUUGCUAAAGCUCUACUAGACUGGAACAGAACAAUAGGUGGUAAAUACUCCAUUCCUCAGUGAGAUGCUACCUACCUAUGCAGAGCUGGAAAAGAUUUUGCAACCUGAAAACCCAAUCCUUUCUGAGAUAUAAAAGAACAGAAGAGUCUGGAAGUGAUUUCUUCGGAGAAAUUCAUUUUCUUAUUCCAGAGAAGAAACUUCAAGCUCAGAAUAUUGGCUACUACCUGUGAUAAACAUUUAAAUUAUUGGAACGAGAGAGUUUUUAUAACUAAAUUUGAAAGAAGCAAUUUUUUUUAUCAAAGACCAACCCGAAGAUUCAUGACCACUACCUGUGAUUUCAUCCAUGUUGCAAGGAAAAUCCUGCCCCACUUCCCCAAUAGGAAGAGUGGUGGGGGAAUAAUAAAGUUGUUUUAUGAUGCAUCCUGUGGACUUCUACUCGACAGAAUGGUAACAUUCAACUGUAAUCAGGAUGAGCAAGCCACUUUAUUAAACUAAAAUUUUAAACUUUAAUAAAUAUAAUACAAACUGAAAAAUAAAAAUAAUUUUUCAACUCUACACAAGUAUGUUAACUGCAUAAACAGUGAGAUGUUACACAGGGCUGAGGCCUAUACUUCUUCAGUUUGUACAUUAAACGUCUCCAUGGAGGGUCAAUUGCAUCCUACCUAUUCUGACAGUUAUCAGGUAGCGAGAGAUUUGAGGAAGAGGCGCUUUUCUAAUCUGGGGUAGGAAAAGGAAUGAUACCAUGUAUCAUGAGAAGUAUUUGCACAUAGUGUGUCAAUUAAGCAAGUGCUCAGACUAUUAACAACAUUACUAUGUGAUGAAUGUUUAUACAGUGGAUUCAAAAAUAAGCUUCUUUCCAGAAAGCAGCUUAGUUUUCAUUAAUUAUUACCAGCAUCUUGGUAAUUAUUUAUUUAAUGGUUUAAAAGUUAAAGUUUCAAUCUAUAUUUGUUUUUUUAACAUCAGCCAAGGAAAUACAUGUCUGUUAUACUGCAUCUUUGGAAGUAUGCAAUAAGUGUAACUAUUGAAUCUAUAUUGAAGAGCCACAAGACACUGAAUUUAAUUGGACGAGACUAUUUUAUUUAGGAAGACAAUCAUCUCCUGUGAUCAGCUUAAGGUUUUUGUUUUGUUUUAUCUGGAACAAGCUAAGUUCAUAUUUAGAAAAUAAAGUUAGUUUUUUGGGUGCAUGAGUUUUAGAGUAAAUUAGUAAUUUAGUAAACUUUGACAUUUCCACUUUGUCUCCAAACACAUUUAAAUUCUAUCUGUCUGACUGAAGUUCUAAGGCAUUCUGUGGUUACUUAGAAAUGAUUCCUUAUAUUAAUGUUUACAAAUGCUAAAUUGUAUUUGUUAAAUACAUGUCUUAUUGCCUAAGAGUUUUCCUUUCUUAUAAGUUUAAUAUAAAUGUCUAGGAAAUAAGACUCCCAUUUAAUAGCUUAUAAAGAAUGCUGAUGUAUCAGCAGUGGCCUUGACAUUAUUGGAUACAAGUAAGAUCUACACUGAUGAUUAAAUCAAAUUGGCUAAGAUUAUUCGUUCUAAUAAAAGCACUGACUCCAUG